GGGCGUUUAGCUCAGCUGGUUAGAGUACUACCUUGACAUGGUAGGGGUCACUGGUUCGAGUCCAGUAACGCCCA
rnacentral:tRNA from 3 species